rnacentral:rRNA from 1 species
GAUGAACGCUGGCGGCGUGCCUAAUACAUGCCAGUCGAGCGAACAGACGAGGAGCUUGCUCCUCUGACGUUAGCGGCGGACGGGUGAGUAACACGUGGAUAACCUACCUAUAAGACUGGGAUAACUUCGGGAAACCGGAGCUAAUACCGGAUAAUAUAUUGAACCGCAUGGUUCAAUAGUGAAAGACGGUUUUGCUGUCACUUAUAGAUGGAUCCGCGCCGCAUUAGCUAGUUGGUAAGGUAACGGCUUACCAAGGCAACGAUGCGUAGCCGACCUGAGAGGGUGAUCGGCCACACUGGAACUGAGACAAGGUCCAGACUCCUACGGGAGGCAGCAGUAGGGAAUCGUCCGCAAUGGGCGAAAGCCUGACGGAGCAACGCCGCGUGAGUGAUGAAGGUCUUCGGAUCGUAAAACUCUGUUAUUAGGGAAGAACAAAUGUGUAAGUAACUAUGCACGUCUUGACGGUACCUAAUCAGAAAGCCACGGCUAACUACGUG